rnacentral:sRNA from 1 species
GUGAGACGUGUCACAGGCGUAGCAUCGCCUGCACGACGGGUUCGGGAGUGACUGAUCUGAAGAGUCGGCAAGGGAUGAAAG